CGAAGCCAGACGAUACCUAUGACCGAGAGCCGGCAAGCUGACGAUCACAGAUACGCCUUUUUCUCCUCUUCUUCUCUUCUUUUAUUUCAUUAUCAUAAGGUAGGAAGGAUAUAGGGUUGAGGCUUACCUUGCUACGAAGAGAAGCUGCGGCUACUCUCUCCGGCGGCACUGAUGCGAGCUCCAAACCCUAGCAGUGGAGGAGGGAAAGGGGUUAGAGGCAGAGUAGGGUGGAGAAGGAGAAGUGCUUGGUGGAUCUCAGAUGCAGGUCAACGGAGGAUUUUACAGAAAAAUUUCAAACGGCUCUACUCGUUCACCGCCGUGAUUUUAGCGGCGGUUGCGCGGGUUCAUCGGCCAUUCAAAUGGCCGCCACGGAUCUCGCCCCCGUUAUGCUCGAGAAGGUGCAGCUGGGGAUUCCGGCCUCUCCUUCGGCUUGGGCCUCACAGCCACUUAGUGCAUGAUGGAAAUAAAUCCCUUCUCAUUUGUGGCUUGUACAACUGAUUGCAUAGGAAAGAUCUUGCUGAGUAUUGACCCAUUGAUUUACUAUAAUAGUUAGAAAGGAUCACUGUCAUAGCUCAGAACCUCAUCCAAGAAGGCAAUCUACCCAAUGCAUAGCGGAUGUGGGAUUAAACACACGGCCGCAUGAAUCCUCACAUACUCUCUCCGUUUAAGCCCUAGCAUCCUCGCCAGGUCAAGGGUUCAAAUCUAUUCAAAUCUAAUUACAACCAUCACAAUCAACUCAUGAUCAGCUCCGAUGGACAUAUGUCUUCUAGUUAUAUGGGCUAUGAACUAAGUUGCUUUGAUACUAUUUUUCACAACAUAACCUCAUCCAAAAAAAGUUAACUAGAAAGUAUAAUUUGAUUUUCUUGGUUCUGUAUAAACAUUCAAAAUCUAUUCAGUGCAUAACUAAUGUGAGAUUAAAUACAUGCCCACACGAAUUCUCAUAGCCACUCAAGACAAUAGGGUUUACUGGAA
rnacentral:lncRNA from 1 species